rnacentral:rRNA from 1 species
GACAGAGGGUGCAAACGUUUGUUCGGAAUUACUGGGCGUAAAGCGCGUGUAGGCGGCUCUUCAAGUCAGGCGUGAAAGCCCCGGGCUCAACUCGGGAACUGCGCUUGAUACUGUCGAGCUAGAGUGUGGAAGGGGCGAUUGGAAUUCCGUGUGUAGCGGUGAAAUGCGUAGAUAUACGGAGGAACACCAGAGGCGAAGGCGGAUCGCUGGGCCAACACUGACGCUGGAGAACGCGAAAGCUAGGGUAGCAAACGGG